rnacentral:lncRNA from 1 species
UAAUAGGAUUGGGGGUUGAUUGGUGUUGGGAGAGCUGAGGAAGUUAUGGAGCUCAGGAUGUCUGUGGGACAUCUCACCUCCCAGUGCAUUUGAUGCAUGGCAUUUAGUUUCCCUCACCAGGCUUCUCUAACAUGCUUCUUCACCAGGACUCAAGAGGGGAGGGCAAGAUAGAGACUCAGAAGAAAUAGAAAAGAAAUAAAGUUUGAGAAAAUGGCAGAGGAGAAAGAGAAAGGAAAAAAAGUUUCCAGAAAACAAACAGAGGACAGUAUAGAAUACUGAACAAAAUGUUAAUUUCCCAUAUUCCAAAAUAAGGUAAACUCUUGAAAAUAAUGCCCCCUGCCCCCAUGCAUAGUAUAUGCCUGAGUCAUCUUUUAAGAAUAGAACUUGAGGGAGAGGUGAGUAUGUUAGAACAAGACAGAGAGAGAUGACAGAGAAGUAUGGCAAUAAGGCAGAAGAGAGUCCUAAGUCUAUAACCUACCCUUGGUUGGGGCAAGCUUGAAAAUGGUAAGAAAGAUGAGUAGAGACAGCAAAUCACAAACUGUCAGCUAAAGAGAGAGUAAAAUCAUUUAGUUAAAUGUAAAUUGCUAAAAAGAACAGACAGGUGCAUAAUUUAUGUAGAUUUGUAUUAAUGACUAGACAAAUGAACAUAAAUUUUCAGAACACUAAUAGCUCAGAAAAUACAUGUUGAUUGAAUUCAGCAUGCAUUUGGAGCAUUUACUGUGUGGUAUCCUUCAUGCUAGGUACUAGAAUACAAAUCCAGUCUGUACAAAUUAAUAGCACACAGAGACAUACACAUUAUACAUGCUGCACUCAAGUACUUAAAAUCUAGCAUGAAGGUGAAUUAUCAGUAAUCAAGUAAACAUACUGUAAGACUAGAGAGAUCAUUAGAAAAAUGAAAUAUUAUAGAUCCUUGUGAGAAGGCAAGAACUCACCGAGGUGAUGUAAUUCUCAUUGACAAGCCAAGAUAGAGAAGCAUAUAUAAGGCCGCUUGCACAGACUCAGCCUGUUUUUCCAGCUAUUUAACUGUUCACAUCAAGACCUGUGUUUAUUUGCAUGGAAGUGGAAUGGACCCGAAGAGCCUGAAAGCAGCAUAGCCGAGUGUCUUGCUGUGAAUUACAGAUGAGGCUGGUGAGGCUUUGCCCUGAGACUCAUAUACCUAGAUCAUUAAAACCACAGAAACCUCAGAGAAAGACUGAAAAUACAGAAUGUGAAACAUGAAGUAGAAAAUUAUCUAAAGCAAUGGCAGGAAGAUCUGGCAAGAUUAGAGCAUGACAGAAUGCCCAAAUUGCUUUUUGAUGCUGACCUGCUGAAAGAAGAGAAAUAGUUACAGGAAAAAGAGAGGGGAAGAAAAACAAACUCAUUUUGAGAUUUGAGGAAAACUGAAUAUCACAUUUCUCAAGUGCUCAUACUGAGCCCUUUUAAUAAUAGGAUUCAAACAGGAAAAUUACUUAUUUGGGUUAUUUUUGGAAAAAAAAUAGAACAAAGUUACUAGCCAACCCAAUUAGUCAACACAGCAGGUUGCCAUAUUUCCUGGCCAAUAACAUAUGGAGGCCUUAGGGGAGCUGCAUGCUGCCUUCCAGAUCAUUGAACAAAUGACUUCCUCAGUGUGUUAAUUAUGCUGAAAGAGUUAAAAAAAAAAAUCUUCUAAAUGUGUUCUCCACUCAAGGGAAUGUUGAGUUCAGAGAAGCUAAGGUGAGUGAAGAACCAAACUAGGACUAUUCCUAAAACCCCCAAUGCCAGGAUCCUGUCCCAUCACCAUUCUACAGCAACACAUGUUCUUUAUUCCUUCUGUUCAUCUUAUUUGCCAUGUCCAUGUCGGUGGCCUGCCUCUAACUUGGGCUUCCAUAGUGAAGGUUAACUUUAGUGGAGGUUAAAUCAUUCUUAUGUUUUUUUGUCCUGAAAGCUCUUUGGCAUGGAAGUCAGCAAUACUGAUUGAAUGUUGGCAGCAGGGGAGCCUAUUGACUCUACUGUCAAGGAGCUCAUUCCAAUGGGAAAGGAAAUUAGGGCAGGUACAUAUUUAAUGUAAGUGCAAGGGACUGUGAUGAUCAUGAAAGAGGAAAAGGUCUUUGGAAGCUUAAAAAUAGGAGGGAUGAAUCCUAAUCUCCCUCAAAUAUGUUUUAGAUCAGGAUAGAGAGUGGGCAAUCAGAGAAUGAUUGUAUUUCAGGUGACGUGGACUUUUGACAAGUAGGUGUUCAAGGAGAGCAUGUGUGCCAAGAAGCUAGAUAGCAUGAGUGACAGAAGAGAUGGAGGUGGAGAGGAACACAGAUUGUUACUCUUGUGCCUGGAGUUGGGCUGGGGAACAGGUAAAGAGUAGCAGGAAAGAAAGAUUGGGACUUUUUGAAGGACUUUGAAUGCCAUUGUGAGGAUUUUACAUUUAAUUUGUUAGGCAAAGGGGAGCCACCAGAUGUUUGUGCAUAAGAGAGUGACAUAAUUAAAACAGUUUUAGGAAGAUUAAUUUGGCAGUUGUCUAUGGUUAGAUUGAUGUUGCAAGAGGCUGGGACUUGGGAAAAAAUAGUUAAUGGGCUUUUACAAGUGUGUCAUCUAACAAGAAGAUCAGUAACUUGAAAAAAUCUUGUAAAUAUUUAAAAUUUCUUAUAAUUCCAUUGAUGUCUAUUUAAAAGGCUCCAAAAGUGUAUCAAGGACAUUAUUAUUUUUUUCUUUUUCUUUUUUUCAAAGAAAGAAAGGUGAGCUGAGAGAACCAGUACCUGUAGUUGAAAGUUUAUUUUCUGGAAAAGGUGCUGGGCCUCCCACUUUCCUGCCAGCACAUCAGCUGUGGAAAGAGCUCUGGCUAGAUCCAUGGUUUCUGGUUCUUGUUCUGUCUUUGCCUUGCUGGGUGACCUUAAACAAGCCAUACCACCUCUUUGGGCCUCGGUGUGAAAUGAGGGCUUGGGCUCCAUGACCUCUAACAUUAUUUCCAUAUUUCACAUUUUCAGGUUUCUUUUCUUAUUUUUUAAAAUAGGAACAAGGGAAUUGCAAUGGAUAAAGAGUUAAUGCCUGUAUAAUUUUCUUCUGCCUAUUUCACUGACUCAUCAAGAAUUUUAGAGAGGAGGAUGAGUUGAAGACUUCAUGCAUGGAUUUAAUGUAGCAUGAGCUUGUUUCAUUUCUUGCAACAAUUUAAAUGCCAUCUUUAAUGUUUUUCUUGUCAUGCUGCUGUUGCUGUUUUUCCUUGUUUCCAAGAAGCUAAACUGUUGCAGAUAUCUGUUCCCGCAUCUUACAGUGAAUUAAGAAUAUGUUAAGGAUAUAUUUUAUUCUUCAUAUUUAAAAAGAUUUAGAAUACCAAUUUAAGUAAACUAGCUGUGGUAUAAUAUUAGUAUAUCUUAGUUUUAUCUGCAAGGGAAUAAUUUAAAUCAGCCUUCUAUGGAUUGUAAUACUUUAAAAACAUGAAUGCGGAGUUCCCGUCGUGGCACAGUGGUUAACGAAUCUGACUAGGAACCAUGAGGUUGAGGGUUUGGUCCCUGCCCUUGCUCAGUGGGUUAACGAUCCGGCAUUGCCAUGAGCUGUGGUGUAGGUUGCAGACGCAGCUGGGAUCCUGCGUUGCUGUGGCUCUGGCGUAGGCUGGUGGCCACAGCUCCGACUGGACCCCUAGCCUGGGAACCUCCAUAUGCCGCGGGAUCGGCCCAAGAAAUGUCAAAAAGACAAAACAAACAAACAAACAAACAAACAAACAUGAAUGCAAGAUGGGUACCACAUGAAGUAACAUACAGAAAUUAUUUCAAUUAUUUAAUUAAAAUAAUUAAAUGAUAAUAGAAGACAUAGUGAGUAUUAGUCAACCAGUGGUAGUAUUUCCAAGACUAACUUAUGGCUCACAUGUUGUUUAAUUUUCCUUAACUAGGAAAGUGCUAUGGUUUAUAAUUCUCAUAUUUUAUUGUCUCCCUAUUCAUUUAUUAAUUUUUUUCUGGGGACUUCCAGAUAGUUUUAUAAAGGCUUGUAAGGAUAGCAUGGUUAAUGUGUAUUUCAGUGAGAAUCUUCUUGAACUGUAUACAAUUAUCAGAGGUUUCAUCCAUGUCAGUUUGGUCAGACAGAUGGGUGAGUCAAAUAUUUUUAACUCUACUCACUUGUCACUUUCCUUAUUAUUUCUAUUUAGGUAGUCAUCAUCUGUUUCUGGAUAUAUCCUAUUACAUUUAAAAAGUAUUUAGCAGACAGAAUUUGAGUCUGGGUAUACCACUGUCAGAAGUACCCCUCCCCUUUUCUUCAAUUUUGCAGAAAAAUGGACAUAGGAACUACAAUGGUGAAGAACUAAUAUAAAGGAAUGACAUAUAUUUGGAACAAUAUCCUUGAUAUGAGUUUCAGAAAUAAGCUAAUAUAAACUCUCUUCUGAGAUGUGGACAAGUAUAGAACAUGAAAAGAAUAUGCCUCUUGCACAAUCCCUGCCUCCCUCAGACACAGAUAACCACUGUUACCAUCACCCUGGUACUUUUGCUCAGAUUGCAGUUGAAUAGACAAGUUCGGUUUUCUUAUUGAAUUCAGUAUAUUAGAUUAAGUGGAGACAUAUGUACAUUUAUUCAUGCUUCUGCAUUUUCUCCCAAGUAGUAUUUUCUACUGGGUCUUGAUCUUUCCCUUUUCUCUUUUAGAAGACACCAAAGGCAUGUUUGCUUUAAGCUAUAAAUCGUUAACUAUUUACUUAAUAAUUUGUUAUGAAUUACUUAUGGAUUAGCAAAUAAAUCAAUAUUUUAGUUUUAGAUCCAAAUAAGAGAAAUUAACUAGUAAGGUAAUAAGAUCAUUAAGAAAUGUUCAUUCAACUUGCCUGUUUUAUUCACCUAAAUCUGCCUCAAAAAAUCUUGGAAUGUUUAAUGUAGUAAAAGAAGCCUUUAAGGAGUCUAAGAUACAAAUCAAUUGACUUUUAACAGUUAUCAGUUUGAAAAACUCAGUAUAAAAUUGAAAUAAACUUACUAUUAGUAAUUUGGACUUUGAUUAAUAUAAAGGAUGAUAUAUACAUCUUUGAAAACUUAUUAUAGUUAUUGUUUCUUAUAGCUAGAAAUGCAGCUUUGGUAAUUAAGUUUAUAUUAGCAUCUAUAUUACAGUAUAUUCAAAUAUAUAAAGUCUCUUCUCUAUUUAUAGCCUGUAGAUCAAUGUCUAAUAGAACUACCUACAGUCAUAGAAAUGUUGUAUAUCUGCUCUGACUGGCAUGGCAACCACUAGCUACAUGUGGCUAUUAAGAACUCCAAAUAUGCUAGAGUUCCCGUCAUGGCUCAGUGGUUAACGAAUCCAACUAAGAA